rnacentral:rRNA from 1 species
AGUCAUAUGCUUGUCUCAAAGACUAAGCCAUGCAUGUCUAAGUUUAAGCGAUUUAAACGGUGAGACUGCGGACGGCUCAUUAUAUCAGUUAUAGUUUAUUUGAUGGUCGAUUACUACAAGGAUAACCGUAGGAAUUCUAGAGCUAAUACUUGCACUUCAAACUGAUUUUUCAGUUGCACUUAUUAGAUUUACCACCAAUGCUCUUCGGAGCUUCGGUGAUUCAUAGUAAUUUAGCGGAUCGCUACGGCUUCGGCCGCGACGCUUCAUUCAAAUUUCUGCCCUAUCAGCUUUCGAUGGUAGUGUAUUGGACUACCAUGGCUUUGACGGGUAACGGAGAAUUAGGGUUCGAUUCCGGAGAGGGAGCCUGAGAAACGGCUACCACAUCUAAGGAAGGCAGCAGGCGCGCAAAUUACCCAGUCCCAACGCGGGGAGGUAGUGACAAGAAAUAACAACAACUAACCUAUUUCAGGUGAGUUGAUUGGAAUGAGUACAAUCUAAACACCUUAACGACUAUCCAU